CCUACGGGCGUCAGCAGUGAGGAAUAUUGGUCAAUGGGCGUAAGCCUGAACCAGCCAAGUCGCGUGAGGGAUAAGGUUCUAUUGAUCGUAAACCUCUUUUAUAAGGGAAUAAAGUGCGGGACGUUUCCCGUUUUGUAUGUACCUUAUGAAUAAGGAUCGGCUAACUCCGUUCCAGCCGCCGCCGUAAUUCGGAGGAUCCGAGCGUUAUCCGGUUUUAGUGGGUUUAAAGGGUGCGUAGGCGGCCUUUUAAGGCAGCGGUGAAAGUCUGUGGCUCAACCAUAGAAUUGCCGGUGAAACUGGGAGGUUUGAGUAUGUUUGAGGCAGGCGGAAUGCGUGGUGUAGCGGUGAAAUGCUUAGAUAUCACGCAGAACCCCGAUUGCGAAGGCAGCCUGCCAAGCCAUGACUGACGCUGAUGCACGAAAGCGUGGGGAUCAAACAGGAUUAGAUACCCUUGUAGUC
rnacentral:rRNA from 1 species